CACCGGUCACCGUCGCAGUACGAACGAUUCCGAAUGACAACGCCUGCGGCGCAUCGGGUAGGCCUUCCCGCCAAGUGUCUGUGUGCAGAUAGUGGCCUACCCUUAGCGCCUGAGCGGCGAUACCCCCUGCUAGCCCCGCACGUACCCUGCAACGAGACUACUAUGGGCUGGAACAUUUGUCGUUUCGGUAGGCUUGUGGCUGUUUCUGACUUCGCGGAGGAAGACCGUCUAUUAGUUGCAUCUGCGCUUGACAUCAGCUAAGCAGCCGUCAGAUGCUGAGUCGGCGUCACAGCAUCACUGGACCCUUUUCCUCAUGAUCACAGGAAUGAAUCUGGUAUCCAGAUUAGCCCCAAGUCACCAGCAGAAACAAGCCGGCUACUUGAGGAAGACUUACUCUUAUAAUGUAAAUGAUUUGAAACAAUAAAGAAUAGAAAAUCACUA